rnacentral:tRNA from 1 species
AGAAACUUAGGUUAAUGCUAGACCAAAGGCCUUCAAAGCCUUAAGCAAAGGUUAAAUCCCUUUAGUUUCUGU